rnacentral:rRNA from 1 species
GACGAACGCUGGCGGCGUGCUUAACACAUGCAAGUCGAACGGAAAGGCCCUGCGUUUGUGGGGUGCUCGAGUGGCGAACGGGUGAGUAACACGUGAGUAACCUGCCCUUGACUUUGGGAUAACUUCAGGAAACUGGGGCUAAUACCGGAUAGGAGCUCCUGCUGCAUGGUGGGGGAUGGAAAGUUUCGGCGGUGGGGGAUGGACUCGCGGCUUAUCAGCUUGUUGGUGAGGUAGUGGCGUACCAAGGCUUUGACGGGUAGCCGGCCCGGGAGGGUGACCGGGCUCCAUGCGCCGACGGUAAGGCCCAGUAUCCUACGGGCGGCAAAGGGGGGGAACCUGACAGAAUGGGGCGGAGCCAGUUGCAACAACCCCCGGAUCGGGAAGCCCGGCUUCUGGGUGUAAACCGCUUUCGCCUUUAACGAAGCGUGAGUGACGGUAAUGGGUAAAAAAGCAACGGCUAACUACGUG